rnacentral:rRNA from 1 species
UACGAAGGGGGCUAGCGUUGCUCGGAAUCACUGGGCGUAAAGGGUGCGUAGGCGGGUUUUUAAGUCAGGGGUGAAAUCCUGGAGCUCAACUCCAGAACUGCCUUUGAUACUGAAGAUCUUGAGUUCGGGAGAGGUGAGUGGAACUGCGAGUGUAGAGGUGAAAUUCGUAGAUAUUCGCAAGAACACCAGUGGCGAAGGCAGCUCACUGGCCCGAUACUGACGCUGAGGCACGAAAGCGUGGGGAGCAAACAGG